GGCUCAGACGAAACGCUGGCGGCGUGCCUAAACAUGCAAGUCGAGCGCGAAUGGGAGCAAUCCCUAGUAGAGCGGCGCACGGGUGCGUAACACGUGGGUAAUCUUCCUGGAAGACCGGGACAACCUGCCGAAAGGCUGGCUAAUACCGGAUAAGCUCACAGGGUCUUCGGACCUGGUGAGAAAAGGUGGCCUCUGUACACAAGCUAUCACUUCCAGAUGAGCCCGCGGCCCAUCAGCUAGUUGGCGGGGUAACGGCCCACCAAGGCGACGACGGGUAGCUGGUCUGAGAGGACGAUCAGCCACACUGGAACUGAGACACGGUCCAGACUCCUACGGGAGGCAGCAGUGGGGAGUUUUGCACAAUGGGCGCAAGCCUGAUGCAGCAACGCCGCGUGUGUGAUGAAGGUCUUCGGAUCGUAAAGCACUUUCGACUGGGACGAACACCCCUUGGCCAAUAUCCAAGGGCCUGACGGUACCGGGAGAAGAAGCACCGGCUAACUCUGUGCCAGCAGCCGCGGUAAUACAGAGGGUGCAAGCGUUGUUCGGAAUUAUUGGGCGUAAAGCGCGUGUAGGCGGCUUUGCAAGUCGGGUGUGAAAGCCCUCAGCUUAACUGAGGAUGUGCGCCCGAAACUGCAUGGCUUGAGUACCGGAGAGGAUGGCGGAAUUCCCCAAGUAGAGGUGAAAUUCGUAGAUAUGGGGAGGAACACCGGUGGCGAAGGCGGCCAUCUGGACGGAUACUGACGCUGAGACGCGAAAGCGUGGGGAGCAAACAGGAUUAGAUACCCUGGUAGUCCACGCCGUAAACGAUGAGAACUAGGUGUCGUGGGUGUUGACCCCCGCGGUGCCGCAGCUAACGCAUUAAUUUCUCCGCCUGGGAAGUACGGCCGCAAGGCUAAA
rnacentral:rRNA from 1 species